GGAAUAUUGCACAAUGGACGAAAGUCUGAUGCAGCAACACCGCGUGCACGAUGAAGGCCCUCGGGUCGUAAAGUGCUUUUGUGAGGGAAGAGUAAGGACGGUACCGCACGAAUAAGGAACGGCUAACUACGUGCCAUCAGCCGCGGUAACACGUAGGAUUCGAACGUUAUCCGGAUUUACUGGGCGUAAAGCGCGUGUAGGCGGUUUAGUAAGUUGGAUGUGAAAGCUCCAGGCUCAACCUGGGGAUGUCGUUCAAAACUGCUAAACUAGAGGACGGUAGAGGAAGGUGGAAUUCCGGGUGUAGUAGUGAAAUGCGUAGAUAUCCGGAGGAACACCAGUGGCGAAGGCGGCCUUCUGGGCCGUUCCUGACGCUCAGACGCGAAAGCUAGGGUAGCG
rnacentral:rRNA from 1 species